GGGUUAGUCUGAGAAUAAGCUAUACUAAUAAAUAGUAUAUGUUACACUAUGCUGAGUGUCAUACAGGCACGCUAUAUACGUGCUAUUAUAUCAGCCUAGUGUAUGAAGACCAAGUGCCUCUUAUGUGCGCCCUUAUCACCAACACUAUCUGUAUAAUAACCCAGCGCUGUCAUCGUAAUCACCCCACAAGUGCAUAUAAUGAUGCAUCGUACGUCAGGGGCGACACAUUACACGGUAUAUAAGGAGCAAUCUCGGACGGAGGUCUACACAACUGGAGUCUCACUUGCGCCUCGCGAUAAGAGCUUUGAAGAAACUCUCUCAAGAUGAAGUUCCCUGUGAUAUUCUGCAUUGCUGCUUUUGUUCUUGCCUCUUCGCUCUUCGUUCGAGACACCGAGGCAUUCACAGCCGGCGCUGGGAACAUUGUGCUUCGAGAGUUGAACAGAGAGGUUCCAGUCCGCUCGAUUGAGGGCUUCUGCUACACUGCCAGACAGAUCUGCUCGAGGACUGGGGCCGCACUCAAGCGUACCACUACUGACCAAUGAAGAAAAUGCAUAUAACUGAACAAUUCUAUUAUAAGGGUAUUACGAGAAAAUUGAUAAAUUUGUGAGAUACAGCUUUGACUGAAUGAGCCAAUAUUGAAUAAAGGACUAUUUGUAUUGGAAA